rnacentral:rRNA from 1 species
GACGAACGCUGGCGGCGUGCUUAACACAUGCAAGUCGAACGGAAAGGCCCUGCUUUUGUGGGGUGCUCGAGUGGCGAACGGGUGAGUAACACGUGAGUAACCUGCCCUUGACUUUGGGAUAACUUCAGGAAACUGGGGCUAAUACCGGAUAGGAGCUCCUGCUGCAUGGUGGGGGUUGGAAAGUUUCGGCGGUUGGGGAUGGACUCGCGGCUUAUCAGCUUGUUGGUGGGGUAGUGGCUUACCAAGGCUUUGACGGGUAGCCCGCCUGAGAGGGUGACCGGCAACAUUGGGACUGAGAUACGGCCCAGACUCCUACGGGAGGCAGCAGUGGGGAAUAGUGCACAAUGGGCGGAAGCCUGAUGCAGCAACGCCGCGUGCGGGAUGACGGCCUUCGGGUUGUAAACCGCUUUCGCCUGUGACGAAGCGUGAGUGAAGGUAAUGGGUAAAGAAGCACCGGCUAACUACGUG